CUCAUCUAUUCUUAAUUCUUUUCUUCUGUCCCACUUUCCGCUCCGUCUGUCAAGUGGAUUUAACGAGGCUUUCAAAUCCGGCUGGCUUCUUGAAUGCAAAAGGCGGAGAAGGUCGAAGAGAGAGAAGAACGUGCACGGUGGUGGUGCCGGCGAAUCGGAAGGAAGGGAUCGGGCCGAGAUCUGGGUGCGGGCGAGAUCGAUGCUGUGGGAUUUGAUGCCUUUCUUGCGCUCUCACCGAGGCCUAGGGUUUUAAGCGCUCGUCUCUGAGGCCCUUGUGGGGCUUUUCCGUUUCGAUUUGAGAGGGAUUUGUAUCACUUUUGGUGGUACCUGAGAUCUUGUCAGGACUUUCAACUUGUAAUAAGAAGGUAAGAGAGUUGCUUCUCAAUAGUUCUUCUUUCAAGACAUGAUUCAGUGUAAUGCCUUGAAUGGUGCUUGAGAGCUGUGGUAUGAGAUUAUUACUACCUGUGGAGGUUGUCAACCCAAACUGGAAGUCUCUGGCAUCUGCUGUUUGCAUAAUAGCAGGCUAGCAAGUAUAUGCCUAUUGGAAGAUUGCUUUUUGAGUUUGAGUUAGGUUUAGAUGUCAUUCCGUAGCAUUGUUCGUGAUGUGAGAGAUGGCAUCGGUAGCUUAUCUCGCCGGGGCUUCGAGGUGAGGUUCUCGGGUCAUCACAGGGGGAAAUCUCAGGGUGCUGUGGACGAAUUGCAUGAUCAACCUGUAGUAAUCCAGGACAGCUGUUGGGCUAGCCUUCCUCCUGAACUACUUCGUGAUGUGAUCAAAAGGUUGGAGGCAAGUGAGGGCACUUGGCCUUCCCGCAAAAAUGUAGUUGCCUGUGCAGCUGUUUGCAGGUCAUGGAGGGACAUGUGUAAAGAGAUUGUUAGAAGUCCAGAAUUUUGUGGAAAGCUUACUUUUCCAGUAUCCCUGAAGCAGCCUGGACCUCGAGAUGGCGCUAUUCAAUGCUUUAUCAAGAGGGAUAAAUCAACUCUAACUUAUCAUCUGUAUCUGUGUCUGAGUCCUGCUGUACUCGUUGAAAAUGGGAAGUUCCUCCUAUCAGCGAAACGAACUCGGCGCACAACGUGUACAGAGUACAUAAUAUCAACUGAUGCUGAAAACAUAUCAAGAUCGAGCAACACUUAUAUAGGAAAACUGAGGUCUAAUUUUCUUGGCACGAAGUUUGUAAUCUAUGAUACUCAACCUGCAUACAACAGAGCAGCCAUCUCCCAGCCAGGGAAGACAAGCAGGAGAUUUUACUCCAAGAAAGUGUCUCCUAAAUUUCCAUCUGGAAGCUACAACAUAGCACAGGUGACGUAUGAGCUGAACGUCCUGGGAACGCGUGGCCCAAGACGCAUGCACUGUAUCAUGCAUUCCAUUCCUGCCUCAGCCCUCGAUGCUGGGGGGACCGUCCCUGGCCAGCCUGAUCAUCUGCUCCCCCGCUCGUUGGAUGACUCCUUUGGCAGUAUGUCCUUCUCCAAAUCAUCCAUCAUGGACCGCUCCAUGGAUUUCAGCAGUUCUCGCUUCUCUGACAUUGCUGGAGGAGCUGGUGGUAUUGGCGACGAGGAAGAUGAGGCUAAAGAGAGGCCUCUGAUCCUUCGAAACAAGGCCCCGAGAUGGCACGAGCAGUUGCAAUGCUGGUGCCUCAACUUCCGGGGUCGGGUGACCGUUGCAUCCGUCAAGAACUUCCAGCUUAUAGCUGCGACACAGCCUGCUGCGGGAGCUCCAACACCGUCGCAACCCGCACCACCGGAGCAUGAUAAGAUCAUACUGCAGUUUGGGAAGGUUGCCAAGGAUAUGUUCACCAUGGAUUAUCGGUACCCGCUUUCAGCUUUCCAGGCUUUUGCUAUCUGCUUGAGUAGCUUUGACACCAAGCUGGCUUGCGAAUAGCGCACCUGGAAGAAUGCUGGAAAACUAAUACAAAAGUUGGUGGUGUCUAAUUUGCGUCAGCUGUUGAUGCAUCAGCUCUAAUUUGCAACCGUGUUGCAGCAUCUAUUCAUCCUCUUAUCUUCUUUUCUUCAUCCUUACCCGCUCUCUUUAUUUUCUGUAACAGGUUCUGUAUCAAGUGAUCAAAUGGAUAUUCCGUUGGAUGCUUUCUUAUUAUUUUCCCAUUGCAUUCCGUAUCUUUAAUCCCUUUAAACCAAAUACCUUUCUUUAGGAAUACUUGAUGGUACCCAGUGCUAGAUGGGGCCGGCAACUUUUCCAUUUGUGGGCCUAGACCGAGGUAUAAAGCAUUCUUGAUCUGGAUCAUUCACUCAGGGUUGCCUCGCGUCCGAUGGCAAAAAGGCUGGACAGAAGGGGCCCACUGCUUCUGGGGGCACAAUGGUGCCUGAGGGGGUCAUGCCGAAUCGUUGCUUGGUUGGAAGUCAGAUAAAAGCGGAGAUAGGACGGCUAUCCAGUGUUAUGAGUCUAAUGCGGACGGCCGGGUGUCAGUCUAGCGAGCAAUGGCAUGGGAAGUAGCGGAAGAGCCUUUUAUAUCGUGUUCUAUUAAGUGAUCGUGGACAACAGUCAUUGGAGACAUCUGUCAAUUUGGAUCAAUUAGAUGAUGUUGCCGGGUUCAAAAUUUUAUUAUUCUCAGAUGUGACAAACAGGAAGAAUGAUUUCUGUCCAAGAUUUCCCAAGUACUGUUAAUCAUUUUUCAAAAACUAGAGAACUUUCUGCUAAGAGCGUUGGGAGCGAUUGCAUGUGUCUUCCCUAAAUAACAAAGCGUUUUGUCUGUUGGGAGGGUUUUUAUCUGCUUCUGUGAUGGUUUCCAACCUUUCUUAUUGUAUACCUUAAUGAUCAUUAAUGUUUCUCAUCCAUGUUUCUGCAUGUACUCAGUCUACAUGUUUUUACUACUUUGACAUUAUGGUAGUGUCUGGUUCUAUUUAAACCACAAGAUUGAAUGUUGGAGGGGUUAUCAAUCCAUUAUAUUAUUAUUUUUUUGUUGGAUUUUUCAUUUUUUCUAUAUCUAUUAUUUAUUCUGGCAGUUGUUUGCAUUUUCUUUUUAAUUUUAAAGCAAUUGACAUAGAAAACAAUGGUUGAGUAUUGAAGCUUUUAUGAUAACAGAUUUAUUAAAUUGGAAUCUUUCAAAAUAAUAUGUCAAUACGCAAAUUUUCUGCCUAACACAUGACUCCGUGUUGGUGGAACAAUGCUUCGAUACCAUUCUGUUCUAGUGGACUGCCUGUUGGGCGCCCUUGAAUAGAGGCCCAGAAUAUGUGGAAGGCUUCCAAGUAGUUGACUCUAAAUGCAUGCUGUCAUUCUUUUGUGACUUGAGAUUUCAGGGAAUUCCUGCACAUCUCCUCAACCGUGCAGCUGUAAGUUGCUGUUGCAGAUUCCUGCAGGCAUCGGAAAGAAUACCCGGAAGGAAGGACCAUUUUAUUUAGGUGCUGUUCAUGGCUUUGAGGAUCUGCCCCUUCACAUGCUUGAAGUUUCAUGGAUUCUUCGUUACUCCAAGACGUAGUCAUGGGAAUGCUAGAAUAGAAGAUCAGACAAAUGAAUUGUCUUGGUAGUGAUCAAAGAUAAUGUUCAUUUUGUGCACUGUGCACUGUGCACAAGAAAACAAGGGAUAAUCUACAUCUGAAAAAACGAAAGAAAAGAAAACAAGCACUAUCGCGAAGUGUGCAAUUUAAACUCGAGUUUUCCUUGUAUAUCUUUGUUGGCAACCUUUUCAUGGUUGUGACCGUGUAUGUGGCCUGAAUGGUUUCUGUCCAUGGCCGCUUAGGUAACAGCCAAAUUGCUGGAUUUCCCACCAUAGUUCAUUACUUUUCCUGUCUGGUACCAACCCAUUCAUGUUCAUACUUGUAUCUAAGAAGGAAUCCAGAGUUAGUC